rnacentral:rRNA from 1 species
UGGGGAAUAUUGGACAAUGGGCGAAAGCCUGAUCCAGCCAUGCCGCGUGUGUGAAGAAGGCCUUCGGGUUGUAAAGCUCUUUCAGACGGAAAGAAACGGUUACGGCUAAUACCCGUGACUAAUGACGGUACCGUAAGAAGAAGCACCGGCUAACUACGUGCCAGCAGCCGCGGUAAUACGUAGGGUGCGAGCGUUAAUCGGAAUUACUGGGCGUAAAGCGUGCGCAGGCGGUUUGGUAAGACAGAUGUGAAAUCCCCGGGCUUAACCUGGGAACUGCAUUUGUGACUGCCAGACUAGAGUGUAGCAGAGGGGGGUAGAAUUCCACGUGUAGCAGUGAAAUGCGUAGAUAUGUGGAGGAAUACCGAUGGCGAAGGCAGCCCCCUGGGCUAACACUGACGCUCAUGCACGAAAGCGUGGGGAGCAAACAGGAUUAGAUACCCCGGUAGUCCCUGAGCGGGCUGGCAAGGCGCAU